GGCUCUGUGGCCUAAUGGAUAAGGCGUUGGCCUCCGGAGCCAAAGACUGAGGGUUCGAGUCCCUCCAGAGUCG
rnacentral:tRNA from 1 species